rnacentral:rRNA from 1 species
UACAGAGGUCUCAAGCGUUGUUCGGAUUCAUUGGGCGUAAAGGGUGUGUAGGUGGCGCCGUAAGUCGGGUGUGAAAUUUCGGAGCUUAACUCCGAAACUGCAUUCGAUACUGGCGUGCUUGAGGACUGGAGAGGAGACUGGAAUUUACGGUGUAGCGGUGAAAUGCGUAGAUAUCGUAAGGAAGACCAGUGGCGAAGGCGGGUCUCUGGACAGUUCCUGACGCUGAGGCACGAAGGCCAGGGGAGCAAACGGG